AACGAACGCUGGCGGCAGGCCUAAUACAUGCAAGUCGAGCGCACCUUCGGGUGAGCGGCGGACGGGUGAGUAACACGUGGGAACGUACCUUUUGGUUCGGAACAACUCAGGGAAACUUGAGCUAAUACCGGAUGAGACCUUAGGGGGAAAGAUUUAUCGCCGAAAGAGCGGCCCGCGUUAGAUUAGCUAGUUGGUGAGGUAAAGGCUCACCAAGGCUACGAUCUAUAGCUGGUCUGAGAGGAUGAUCAGCCACACUGGGACUGAGACACGGCCCAGACUCCUACGGGGGGCAGCAGUGGGGAAUCUUGCGCAAUGGGCGAAAGCCUGACGCAGCCAUGCCGCGUGAAUGAUGAAGGUCUUAGGAUUGUAAAAUUCUUUUACCAGGGACGAUAAUGACGGUACCUGGAGAAAAAGCCCCGGCUAACUUCGUGCCAGCAGCCGCCGUAACAC
rnacentral:rRNA from 1 species